rnacentral:misc_RNA from 1 species
UUUUUUAUUUUUAUUUUAAUUUUUCAUAAUUUUCCUACUUUAUUUAUUUCUCAUCCUUUUCUGCAAAACCCUAAAUUCAUUUCGCUUGAAGAAAUUCUGCAAUCACAAUUUUUUUUUUGGCAUUUUUCCCUGUAAUUUUUUUGUUGCUCCAUGAAAAUUUUCAUUAGCAGGAAAAAGUCACCGUUGAAACUCCGUGCAUUCUCAGCAAUGGCGGAGAUUUAAGGCACAGAACUCACCCACAACUGUUGUAAUCUGUAUUUUGUUUCUGAUCUUUGAAGUUUCAAAGCAAAAUCUUGGUUUUCCCUUUUUUUUUGGGAGCUUUACUAACUGGGUUGAGUUCAUUUUCAACAUAAAGAAUUGAUUUUUAGAGAAUUUUGUGUGUGGGUGUUGUAAUUCUAGCACUUGAGCUGCAAGAAGUGUUGAUUGUUGAUGCUUGUUAGGUUCUAGGGUUUUUAGGGUUUUAGGGGUUUUAAGUGAUCUGUGAAUAAUGGAGGCAAAGGAGGGAAUAAGUUCGGGGGUGACGGUGAAGGGAAUACACGCUCCAGAGAGUUUCAGAGUGGCCCCCAGAAAUGAAAAUUCUGUCCCUAACCUGAACCCGAUUCCCAAUCCUAUUCCUAAUUCCAAUCCUAAUCCUAACCCGACCCCUAAUUCUAACCCUAGCCCUAACUCUAGCCACUUUGGUGGGCCCACAGUGACCUCCUUGCCGGCGAGCGCGGGCACGGAGGUCAAGAAGAAAAGAGGGAGGCCAAAGAAGUACGGACCUGACGGCACCUUAGCUUUGGCAUUGUCUCCGAUGCCGAUAUCGUCUUCUAUUCCGCUCACGGGAGAGUUAUCAGCUUGGAAACGGGGUAGAGGGCGGCCUUUAGAGUCAGCCAAGAAGCAAUAUAAAUAUGAAUAUGAUAGCGCAGGGGAGAGAAUUGCAUACUUCGUUGGUGCAAAUUUCACGCCCCAUGUGAUCACAGUAAAUGCUGGUGAGGAUGUCACAAUGAAGGUCAUGUCCUUUUCUCAGCAAGGAUGUCGGGCUAUCUGCAUUCUUUCUGCAAAUGGUACAAUCUCAAAUGUUACACUUCGUCAACCUACUUCUUCUGGUGGUACUCUAACAUAUGAGGGUCGUUUUGAGAUACUUUCCUUAUCUGGAUCAUUUAUGCCAACUAAUAGUGGAGGAACAAAGAGCAGAUCUGGUGGGAUGAGUGUCUCCUUGGCAGGUCCAGAUGGUCGUGUUGUGGGUGGUGGACUUGCCGGUAUGUUGGUAGCUGCUGGCUCUGUGCAGGUUGUUGUGGGCAGUUUCCUACCAGGUCACCAGCAGGAGCAAAAACACAAGAAGCAGAAAACUGAAAUUGCACCAGCUAGAGCUCCUGUCAAAGUUUUAUCUGCAGAAGAUACGAAAGGGGCAUAUGGUGGAGUGAAGCCAGUUCUCAUACCAACAUCCUUCCAGGGCGAUAAAUCAGCUCCUGUUAACCCUGCCCAGGCCUUUAGGAACUCAGCUUCUGACGAUAAAACCUCUUCACCUGAAGAUGGAUCUAAAGGUCCCAAUCAAUCCAACUGUGCUUCCCUGGCGUUUGAUGGUGCGGCAACAUCUAUUAACCUUUUGUUUCCUCCAAGUGCUAAAUGUUUAGCCUCUGUUUCUUGUUUCUUAUCUGAAUAUGUGUUGUCGACCGAUGAAAUGCGAACUUCACUCUCUUGAUCGUUGUUGGGACUAGAUUUUGAUCCCAUGAGGAUUAUGACUAUGAUCAAAUUGCAGAAGCAGAAGAUGAAAAGAGAGUUGGAAGCAACCUGAGUGAUCAAUUCCAGAGUGGAAUCAAACAUGGUUGUUAAAAUGAAAGAAAUCAACAAGAAAAACAGGGAAGACACAGAGAACAGUUGUUAUGCUGGGAGGGGAAAGAGAGAUAUAUAGGCCUCCUGUAGAAAGGGAAAGUUUGGAGAGGAAGCUUUUGUAGCAGAAGUUAAGGAGUAGAUAAUGAGGCGUGGUGUGAAAGCUAAUGAGAAAGGAUUUAUUAUAUGCAUUUUGUUUAAUGAUGAAUGUACCAAUAAGUUUUUGGGAAGGUUCUUGCCAACUAGGACGUGGAGUUGUCUUCAUUAACUAAUUUAAAAAAUACGUUGUACCAAACAAAAGACUCACAUGGAAG